rnacentral:rRNA from 1 species
GACGUAGGGGGCCAGCGUUGUUCGGAAUUACUGGGUGUAAAGGGUUCGUAGGCGGUGCGGCAAGUCGGGAGUAAAAUCUCUGGGCUUAACCCAGAGGCUGCUUCCGAAACUGCUGUGCUUGAGUGUGGGAGAGGCGCGUGGAAUUGCAGGUGUAGCGGUGAAAUGCGUAGAUAUCUGCAGGAACACCCGUGGCGAAAGCGGCGCGCUGGACCACUACUGACGCUGAGGAACGAAAGCUAGGGGAGCAAACAGG